UACAGAGGUGCCAAGCGUUAGGCGGAAUCACUGGGCUUAAAGCGCGUGUAGGCGGGUCGUUAAGUGUCCGAGUGAAAUCCCACGGCUCAACCGUGGAACUGCCGGGCAUACUGGCGAUCUUGAGGCAUUCAGGGGCGAGCGGAACAAAUGGUGGAGCGGUGAAAUGCGUAGAUAUCGGAAGGAACGCCGGUGGCGAAAGCGCUCGACUGGACCUCUUCUGACGCUGAGGCGCGAAAGCCAGGGGAGCAAACGGG
rnacentral:rRNA from 1 species